rnacentral:rRNA from 1 species
UAAUACGGAGGUGGCAAGCGUUACUCGGAAUCAUUGGGUGUAAAGGGCAAGUAGGCGGUCUAAUAAGUGAGGGGUGAAAUCCUGCGACUCAAUCGCAGAACUGCCUUUCAAACUGCUAGACUUGAGGUAAGAAGAGGAAAAUGGAAUUCUAGGUGUAAGGGUGAAAUCUGUAGAUAUCUAGAAGAACACCAACGGCGAAGGCAAUUUUCUACUCUUAUCCUGACGCUAAAUUGCGAAAGCUAGGGGAGCAAACAGA